rnacentral:rRNA from 1 species
GACGAACGCUGGCGGCGUGCUUAACACAUGCAAGUCGUACGGUAAGGCCCUUUCGGGGGUACACGAGUGGCGAACGGGUGAGUAACACGUGAGUAACCUGCCCACAACUUUGGGAUAACGCUAGGAAACUGGUGCUAAUACUGGAUAUGUGCUCCUGCUGCAUGGUGGGGGUUGGAAAGCUCCGGCGGUUGUGGAUGGACUCGCGGCCUAUCGGCUUGUUGGUGGGGUAGUGGCCUACCAAGGCGGCGACGGGUAGCCGGCCUGAGGGGGUGACCGGCCACAUUGAGACUGAGAUACGGCCCAGACUCCGACGGGAGGCAGCAGUGGGGAAUAUUGCACAAUGGGCGCCAGCCUGAUGCAGCAACGCCGCGUGCGGGAUGACGGCCUUCGGGUUGUAAACCGCUUUCAGCAGGGACGAAGCUUUUUGUGACGGUACCUGCAGAAGAAGCACCGGCUAACUACGUG